GGAAAACGAAUACUCUCCCUAUUAUAAAUAACCGUACACAUGUUUGUCUGUCUGCUGCUGGACAAAGGAUGGCCUGCUGGGACUAAUCUGGUUACUACAGUUAAAAGUGAUCCCUGAAGGUGUUCACCAUAGCAUGAGCCAAGGCUAACCACGACUCACGUCAACCAUGUCUCCUCCACGUCUCUGCAGAGGAAACGGGAUUAAUGAUUCCACCAUCUCUGCUCCUCCCAGCGGGUGCAGAGUUGUUGUUGAUCCUGGCUUUGCAGGAGAAGAGUGCAGUUCUAGACUCUGCGGGAACGUCCAUUAGCAGGUUAAUAAAGAGCAUCCUGUGUUUAUGUGUGUGGCUUUGUGUAUUUAAUCGUUUCACACUGUAUUUGUCAGGAUGUUUGCUUAUGGAAAGUGUUAAAGUCAUUUUUAGCCUGCUUGCUUUCCCCUCUUGUCUCUCGGCCUUUGUUCUGUGUCUCCUUUCUCGUUCUACCUGGGGUUUUUUUACAAGCUGUUGGGAAACUUCUUUUUCAAGCUAUCCAUCUCCUCUUUGAUAUUUGUUGGAAAAGUAUUCAGAUCCAAGUGAAAUGUGUCCUCGUGUGAGUGUGAAAGUGAGUCAGAGUGUUUGAUCAGGGCCAAAAUAGGAAUGGGAUGUAUCUUUAAUCGAGCCCCUGUAGUAUCAGUCCUGAGUCAAUAUUGCUCCGUCUGAGCUGGAAAAGGGGGGAAGUCUUGAGCAAGUAGAAGAACCGCCCGCUCUCUGGACGUAAUUAAUAAGGAAACUGAAAAACAAGAUAAUGACGCUGCUGCACUUGACUGCUUACCUCACUUCAGCAAAAUGUAGAGAUGUUUGGAAUGAGAUUAGUUAAGAUUGGUUAUCCUUGUAUGAUUUAAGGAUAAGGGACAUUUCAUUUGACAUCUGAGACACAUUUUGAUCAAAGCCUUUGGGACGUGUCCUCAGGUUGCGACCUGCUUCCACCUUAAAUCCAGCAGCCAGCAGCAUUAAGUCAAUGUUCCCAAAAUAUCUGGUUGAAAGAUAAACUGUCCUCUCAUUUGACCCUCUCUCCCUCCCCUCGUGAUUUUCUCUGUGUGAAACGCUCCCACACUCUUUUCCUUAAUCCCCCCCCUUCCCCCUUUACGUCUCCCCCUUUUUUUUUUUUUUCAAAGCGUGGUCUCCUCCCAUCCUCUAAUCUCCC
ensembl:lncRNA